rnacentral:rRNA from 1 species
GAUGAACGCUGGCGGCGUGCCUAAUACAUGCAAGUCGAGCGAACGGACGAGAAGCUUGCUUCUCUGAUGUUAGCGGCGGACGGGUGAGUAACACGUGGAUAACCUACCUAUAAGACUGGGAUAACUUCGGGAAACCGGAGCUAAUACCGGAUAAUAUUUUGAACCGCAUGGUUCAAAAGUGAAAGACGGUCUUGCUGUCACUUAUAGAUGGAUCCGCGCUGCAUUAGCUAGUUGGUAAGGUAACGGCUUACCAAGGCAACGAUGCAUAGCCGACCUGAGAGGAGGAGGCGCACCAGGGGAGUGGGGCAGAGCCCCGGCCCCGAGCGGGAGGCAAGGCUGGGGAUCUUACGGGAGGGGGAGGAGGGCAAUCGGAGAAAAGCGGCGGAGGGUUGGAGGGUCUGGGCGUCGUAAACUAUGGUUAUUUGGGAAUAGAAAAUGUUUAGGUACUUGGGAGAUCUUGGGGGUGCCCUAUUAAGAAGCCCCGGCUAACUCCGUG